rnacentral:rRNA from 1 species
GACGAACGCUGGCGGCGUGCUUAACACAUGCAAGUCGAACGGAAAGGCCCUGCUUUUGUGGGGUGCUCGAGUGGCGAACGCGUGAGUAUCACGUGAGUAACCUGCCCUUGACUUUGGGAUAACUUCAGGAAACUGGGGCUAAUACCGGAUAUGAGCUCCUGCUGCAUGGUGGGGGUUGGAAAGUUUCGGCGGUUGGGGAUGGACUCGCGGCUUAUCAGCAUGUUGGUGGGGUAGUGGCUUACCAAGGCUUUGACGGGUAGCCGGCCUGAGAGGGUGACCGGCCACAUUGGGACUGAGAUACGGCCAAGAGUCAUACGGGGGGCAGCAGUGGGGGAUUUUGCACAAUGGGCGGAAGCCUGAUGCAGCAACGCCGCGUGCGGGAUGACGGCCUUCGGGGUGUAAACCGCUUUCGCCUGUGACGAAGCGUGAGUGACGGUAAUGGGUAAAGAAGCACCGGCUAACUACGUG